rnacentral:lncRNA from 1 species
AUGGCGCACGCUAACGAUGCUAACGGGCAGAGGCCCUGCGCGCGCCCGUGGCGGCGGCGGUGGUGGUGGAGGAGCGCUCGGCGCCUUUCGCGCCGGCUCUUUCGCUGCCGGUGUUUGUGCCGCGAGGCGAAGGAGCCUCUGCGGGGGCAGGAAAAGCGGAUUAACGGGGGCCCGCGGCAGCUCGGCGCGGAUAGAUGGGGAUCAGGUGAGAAGGAGGCCGUCCAGAUUACUGUGGAGGAUCUGGGGAUAGUUAACUGCAGCUUCGUCCUGUCUGAAGAGGACCCCCUGACCCGGAGGACCAGCGCGGCCCGCUCAGCCGGCUCGGGGUCCGCCUGCCACACAGCUGAGAAAAAGAAACACAGACCUCUGGGUUCACUCCCUUUACAGCUCCAGGCUGAACCUGCCACGACUUCUACCAGUGGAGAAGAUGGUGAAGAUGAGGAGGAGGAGGCUGAAAGUCUGCUGACACCACCUGUCAUUAAUCUCAUCCCUCCCACCCCCUCCGACGUCGUUAACGACCGCUUUUUUAAUAACUCAGAGGAGAGUGUGGCGCGUAGAUCUGGCAGCGAUGGAAGCCCUGCUCCCACUGAGCGGAAGAGCGAUGGGGAAAAGACGGAGAGUGAGGAGGCAGAGGACUCAACGGAGGGACGCAGAGAGGCCGGGAACGAUGCUGGAGCGGACGGUGGUGCUGAGGCGGGAGGGGGCCCGGGGCACGAGGGUGAGGAGGACAGAGGGGAUGUGCCACGUAGCUCCUACCAGGUGGCUCCUCUGCCCGAAUACCCGCAGAGAAAGAGCUUCAACACUGGAAUAAACCUUUUAUCAUUCACUGAGCUCAACUUGGACGACCUGAGCGGCGGCGACCGGCCGUGCGCCGACAUGGUGGCGACUGACGUGCGCGGCCUCCAUCCCGCUGCCAGCGCGCGGGCCUCUGCUCACCGAAGGACACCCGUAACUCACUCCAGCCUCCUUGGGGAAACAUUGACCAGGAGCGCCACAUUCCACGGAUUAACCCAGGCCACGGCGCAGCGCCAGGAGGAGGGGUCGCCGCGGCAACGACGCAUAACCGUGGCGUCGUACAUGCCUCAGCCCCGGGACCAGAAUGGAAACUUCCCUGAGAAGGACGCAGACGAGCGCGCGACCAAACCUCUCAGGGAGCUGAGCACCGACGGACUCUGCCGGUGGUUUACCAGCAUUGGACUGGAGAGAUGCCUCCCUUUCAUCAGGGAAGCCAAACUGUGCGGCGCAGACAUAGCAUCAGUCGACGCCAACACUCUGGACAUCCUCCACGUCACCACGCUGGAAGACAGAGAGCAGUUACUGUCGGCCAUUUAUGCCGAGCUGCACCCUCCCAGCACCACCAGCCAGAGACUGGACUCUCUGCUGGAAACAUUAGGCCCCAAUCAUGUGGAGACUUUCGCCGCCACGCUGGUGUCCAUGAGCAAGUCCAGGUCAUCGCCUCACGUGAGCUGCCUGAGUCUGAACCGACGUUCCCUCAAAGUCAGGAACAACAGCCAGAGCUGCAACACACAGCUGAUAGAGGUCACUGUCACGGCGUCAGAGAGAAUAGUUCAUCUCCGGACCCCAAAGGAAACGACCGUGGGAAAGAUCAUGGACUCGUGUAUCAAAAUGCUGGGAGCGACAGAGGACAAGUGUCUGUUCACGCUGAGAGAAAAGCACAGCUCAUUGGAGGAACUGAUGCCGGACCAGCAGGUUGGGGGUCUACUGACGUCGGCAUCAGACAACGCACAAGUGGAGCUGCUCCUGUGUAAACUGGAGAAACCAGCGAGUCCUGACUCUUCAAAGAGUCCAGACGUCGACAGCGCCAAUGAAAAUGGCAGCAGCGACACAACCCUUCAGUCAGAUAAAGAAAAGAGGAUCAGAGAGUUGAAACAACAGGUGGACUCGCUCCAAAACGUCAUCCUUCAGGUCCAGGAGCUCCACCUCAGCCUGGUAGCGUUUUGCUCAGAGCUGAAAAGCAUGGACGGAGACGUGAACGCGGACGAGCUCGGCGCUGACGAGCUGCAGCGGAGGCUGGAGUUGGUCCAAAGCCGAGUGAGCGACAAGAAGCAGAGCCUGCGAACCCUCCGAGACCACAUCAGCAGAUCGGCUGCUCACAAGACCAAGUAGGUGAACGGUGCCGGGUGAAGUAGUCCUUCCGCCUUCUACGUAGCUGAAUCACACAAUGAACACGGGUCUGAAUAGAAAUACGCUGUGGUUGAGCGUGUGACUGCUGUCCAAGAGAAUGAGACACAGCUUCUGAGGCCGGUCCUUCUUUUGCCAUUCAGCCAGCUGGAAGUUCAUCUCCUGGAAAAGAUGAAGUUGAACUGCCAGGUGUUCAAGGAGGAAAUCUCCCUGGUGCAUCUCAACCGACAGGUGGCUCAGCUCCAGAGCGCUCUGGACGAAAGCACAGCGAAGGUACAACUACGUGACACACUCCGCUGCAGAGCUCGACUCACGCGCCCAAGGCCUGGAAAUCGGCAGUAAAGUCACAGCAAUGUGGGAAAGAUGCAUGCUCAUAGUCAGGGAAUGUUUUCAUUGCUAAAAUUAAACAACGAGAACCAGCUUUGCACCAAAACAACACGACUCAUUGUGAGAAGCAUGUGUGGUAUGAGAUACUAAACUCCUGAUCAGGCAAAAACUCUCAAAUCACGUUGUUUUCCUCCAGCCUUUGUUUAUAUCAGAACAACUUGUGCAACGGGAAUCUUUCCCCCGCUAAUGAAAGACACGCUGUGAUGAUCACGGACGCGGCGAGUUCAUCCAUGUGUUGGUUUACUGGGCCAGCGCUAGGACGGACGGCGGCUUCCUGACAGGGCAGGUCUUUACCUGACACCACUGUGUUCACUGACAACACAAAGCUCCAUUCAGGCGACUUGGAGUCAUUAAGCUGUGCAUUUAGCGGUGAUAGUGGGCAUAGAAGGCCGAGCGCAGACCUUUUGAUGAACAUGUGCUUUUUUUAGGGGGAAAUAAUGUUUAGGGCCGACAUCUGAGAGCCUGUGACCACACCAACAAUGGAAUGUGUGUGACAAAAGCCACUGGGAGAGUGCGGAGGAGAAGCGGGCCGGCGUGUGUAAAACUAUCUCCAUCCAUCCCCGGAGGAGCCCACCUUCCUUUUUAAUGUGGCUCUUUAAUCCCGCCGGAGAAGCCCUAACGAGGUGCCAUGAAAGGACACACGCGGCUCGGGCUUUGAAAGGUGCCCCGUGUCACAUUGCCGCCCCGAGGCCACGCUUUUUUAGGUGCUGAGUUUGUGGGAACAGCAGCGGCGCUAAUGUUUAUCAUAUGACCUAAUCAGAGUUAACACGCAGGUCAGAGCGGAGGAGCAGCCUGGGAACUGAUGGAGCCGCUGCUCUAAUAAGGAGCAGACCGCCCUGUGUUUGGUCUUGUAGGCUGCCCCGCAUUACAGACAAUAAGGAAAUAUUUCAUCAGCAGCAGCCUAAUCUCCGGGAUCUGCAACAACUGUAGAGCAUCAAUAAAGCGGUGGAGAGACAGAGAGGGAGGGAGGGA